AUCCCAGUUCGGAUUGCAGGCUGCAACCCGCCUGUAUGAAGUUGGAAUCGCUAGUAAUCGCGGAUCAGCAUGCCGCGGUGAAUACGUUCCCGGGCCUUGUACACACCGCCCGUCACACCAUGAGAGUCGGGAACACCCGAAGUCCGUAGCCUAACCGCAAGGAGGGCGCGGCCGAAGGUGGGUUCGAUAAUUGGGGUGAAGUCGUAACAAGGUAUC
rnacentral:rRNA from 1 species